UACAGGGGGGGCAAGCGUUGUUCGGAAUUACUGGGCGUAAAGGGCCAGUAGGCGGCCAACUAAGUCACACGUGAAAUCCCCAGGCUUAACCUGGGAACUGCGUGUGAUACUGGAUGGCUUGAAUUCGGGAGAGGGAUGCAGAAUUCCUGGUGUAGCGGUGGAAUGCGCAGAUAUCAGGAGGAACACCAAUGGCGAAGGCAGCUCUCUGGUACGUGACUGACACUGAGACGCGAAAGCGUGGGGAGCGAACAGG
rnacentral:rRNA from 1 species